UUUGGAGCCUGUCCUGGAACUCGC
rnacentral:piRNA from 1 species